rnacentral:lncRNA from 1 species
GGAGCGUGAAUCUGAUGUGGACCUUCCUCCACCUUCUCUUCCUGGAGCAAACUCUUCACCCCAGGCCUGCUCUCCUCUACAAAACAUACAGACAACACCAGGUCCUGGGUCCCUGGAGGACACCACCAAUACUGUGAGGUGAUGGUGAGGUGAUGGUGGCUGAUGCACAGGGGUAAAUGCGAGACGAUCAACACCUUCAUUCAUGAGGAUGUGGCCACGUUGGCAUAUCUCUGCAGAAUUCCACCUCUGCCCUCUACCAACAGCUGCUGUGUGCACAACAGUCACAAAGACUCACCAAAACCCACUUCUUGCUGCAUUGGGGACUGCAUACUCAGCUAGACUUUUGGACUCCUCCUCCAGGAAAUGGCCAGCCUUAUGGUGA